CAGUGACUCUGUCUGCAAACGGAUCAUCUUAUUAAAAGUUGCAUUUUUAAACUCAGUCCUUACCACAAUUCAGAGUCGGUUGAAGUAACCCCUCCCAUGGAGUCGGCUUGCCUUGGCCCCGCUCUUCCCAGAUGGCUCUGCUACCACAGGGCCCGCCCCAAGGAACUCUGCCCAUGAGGCUGGUCCCUGAGGCCUGACGCUUCCAUCCAGCACCACAUCCACAUUGCACCAGCCACCGCUCUCGAGAUUCGAUCCCAAAGCAGCUUUAUUUCUGUCACCCGGGGCUCCUUCAAAAUGUAUUCCACAGGGAAAGCUCUCUCCUGCCGUUCGAUGAAAAACCCCAUGAACUCCAGAAUUUUUCUGCUGGCUCAGGGCUGCUGCUGGAGGUUUCUGGGCCAUUCUGCAAACGCAGGUCUCAGAGUGGAUCUUCUCUUGCGAGAUGUGAGGGAAAGGAGGUCCAGCAAGAAUGGUUGGCAAGCACGGUUGUUAGGUGGGAGAACUGGAACAGGAGAUCUCGCUGUGCUCAGAGGAAACCGCGCGGCCAGCCAACCGCUCCAGGGACGGAGACAGCAACAGACCCAGCAUCACUUCACGAAGAGGACAGAAAGCGACGGAUUUUAGGGCUUUUCUUUUUUUUUCUGAUAAAGUUACAGAAACGUCUAAAUACAACUUGAAAACCCACUUUCCCACCACCUAAAAUGAACGACUAUUAACAUUGUGUCUGCAGAUGAGCUGGGAGAACAGAGAGCAGUUGGAACAGGGCGAAGCAAGGAAGUUUUUCUGAAGUAAUUCUUAACAAAGGACGUCCUCGUGCUUUUAUCAGAAAACAUUUCCACUGUGAGGUUUCCACAUAGCUGCUAAUAAUAACUUGUAAAUUUGCCUAGCUGGCGGCUGGAGCAUUGGAAUUUACGAAUAACAAAGAGCAGAAAAAGAACUGAAGAGGAAGCCAGCUCUUUUCCUUGGGAAUAAACACAACUUGCUUUUGAACAACCCUCCCCUUUCCUCCAAAGAGAGCAGGAAAGAACUCAGGCUAGUCCAAGGACAAGCAGGCUAUGGAUCAUUAAAGUGGAAGGCUUUUCCAUCCCUGUUAGUGGAAUCAGAGCCAGAGGCAGGAAGCCCAGAAGCGAGAACCACCACCAAGGGCACGCCCCUCCCUGGCUCUGACCUUGAACUAUGUUUGGUGUCACCCACAAACCCGAGAGGCAGUAAGAAUGCGUGAAGUCAAGUUCAUGAGCCCUGGUGUUUGUUCCCAGGGUGGGGAAAGGGUGGAGGUGUCACGGCUGGAGGGCUGGUCACCAGAGAGGACAAAGCCUUGCGGGGGCCUGAGCUGGCCAAGGCACAGGGCGAGGGGCUGUCAUCCCCACUCUGACCCAGUUUCCCAGCAACAUGGAGAACCUCCGAAUGAAAUCACCUGUGGCCCUGAGGACCUGUCUUCUAUUCUUUGAUAAGCUCACUCCACCUCUAGAGGCAAAAAAUACAUAGUAAAAUACUCAUCCUCCCACUUAACCUCGACCGGGAACCUCAUUCUUGCUUGGAGAAACCUGUUUCCCGUUUCCCGUUUCCCCGGCAGGCAGAACAAAGUUGGAGGGGAGCAGAGGAGUCUUCAGUCUGUGCAAGAGGGCGGGGGUGCCUAGACCAGAUACCCACUGGGCAUCUCCCUUUUGUGUACCUAUUGGUGAAAUGAAUAUACUCAUUGGCGAAUUUAAUAAAGUUAAGCGUGCAGCUCAGCUGAGCAGCCUCAGCAAACUUUCCCGCACCCCCACCCCCGGCAGGUGCACAGUUGGGUUUCUAGCACCCGGCGCCCCACUUCUCAGAGCAACGCUGCAUGACCUCACGGUUCCAGGCUUUAUGAUGCCCGCCUGCUCCCCCACCCACCACACACACACUGGUUGUGCUUCUUCCCAGAUCUCUCAGAAGCUCUUUAGAGGCAGUGGGAGCCUGUUUGCAGCUGCCAGAGCACCGUACCGAGGAAACCUGCAGAAGCAUUCGGGCCCAUCAAAAACCAAUAACAAGAAAUGGGUUUUUCACCUGGUUUCCUAUGGAAAAAAUAAUAUGGGGGGGGAGGUGAGUUUAGAAUACACGCGUGGGUGGAUGCAUGUGCAUGUUCUUACGUCGAUUAGAAAUUCUUUCAGCCAAUAAACAUUUCUUGGCACCUACCAUGUACAAGACUCUGUGCUCUCUGACAACAAACGUGAGUGAGACACUGUCCCUAACUUCCAGGAGCUCACAAUCUAGAGAAAAAUCACCCUUACAAACUGGAAAAUCAUAUCAUAAGUCCUAUGAUAAAGGCUCAUUCAUCUAUUCAACAAAGAUGGACUGUGCACGAUGUGCCAGCUUCAAGGAUGAACAAACAGUUUUGAGAGCACAGAGGCCAAAUGUAACUACCAUUCCUCUUCCGAACACAAAGGAUGUGAUAGGAGAGCCGCCAUGCACAUGCUCUUCAAGGAGAGGGUCCUUCUUUUUGCACAACCAUCCCACCUGGUGUGUGCCCACAAACAUCCAACAUAUCCUGCUUCCCAAGGAUGGAUUUCCUGUCCUCUCAUUCACUAGUCAGUUUCAACCCGAUCUUUGUUGGAAAGAAGGCUUUCUGGAGGGAAGCCCGAACUGAGUCUCAGAGGAUGUGUGGGAAUGAAACCAAGUUGUGUGUGUCAGAGGGACCGCUCGAGAAAGACAGGAGAGAUGCCAUGUGGGCACGGAGACCACCAUGCAAUCCAGCCUCUUGAGCAUAGAGAUUCCAAAGCCUUGACCUUGCCGGAGUUGUUUGCAGUUUGGCAAGCUUCCGGGAGCCAACCCCAUUCUUGAAGGAUGGCAUAGCAACUAGAAGGCCAACUUCUUAAGUCAGAGUAGCUCUGGCCGGUGGGCCAUGCGGCUUUGGAAUCUGGAUAGAUGCAGAAGGAUGCUGAGUGAGCAAGAAAUUGGAGCAAUUUGCAAAGUCAGUGAUCUUGUCAUCAACUGAGGGCAGCUGCGGUCUCUUUGUGGCUCCCACCUCUGUCCCCUCCAUGCAGAGCCAAGUUUCCAGGAGCUGCACUUUGCUCUGCUCCCUCAGCCCCCACAGCCCGCACCCCACCCUCCCCUGCACCUGCCUCUGCGAAGGCCACAAGUCCCUCUGGUUCAGCUGCCAUUGAUAUGGCCUAAAAAUUCCCAAAUCCCCAUCUACAGCUCAAAUGCCUUUUUUUUUUCUUUUCAGUGUGAUAAAAUACAUUUAACAUAAAUUUACCAUCAGAACCAUUUGGGUUUUUUAAAGUGUACAGCUCAGUGGCAUGAAGCACAUUCACACUGUUAUGCAACCAUCCUCACCAUCUGUCUCCAGAACCCUUUCGCCUCACAAACCUGAAACUCUAUACCUGUUGAACAUUCCUCCCUCCCCCAGCCCCUGGCAACCACCGUUCUACUCUGUCUCCGUGAGUUGGAUGACUCUAGAUACCACAUAGAAGUGGAAUCACACAGUAUUUGUCCUUUUGUGACUGGUUUAUUUCACUCAGCGUAAUGUCCUCAAGGUUCAUCCGUGUUAUAGCAGGUGUCAGAUUUCUUUCCUUUUUAAGGCUGAAUUAUACACACAUACAAAUAGACAUACUACAUUUUGUUGAUCCCUUCAUCCAUCGAUGGAUACUUGUGCUAUUUGAAUAAUCCACUAACAUGGGUGCACAAAUAGCUUUUCGAGACCCUGUUUUCAAUUCCUUGGGAUAAAUACCCACAAGUGGAACUGCUGGAUCACAUAAUAAUCCUAUCUUUAAUUUUCGGAGAAACUGUCAUACUAUUUUUUCCCACCACUUUACAUUCCCACCAACAACGUACAAGGGUUUCAACCUUUCCCCAUCCUUGUCAAUGCUUGUAAUUUUCUGGUUUUCUGAUAUUAGUCUUCUUCAUGGGAGUGAGAUUCCAAUGGCUUCUAUCAAUGCUAGACUUGCAUAGCCAGCUCCCUACUGGACAUUUCCAUCUGAAUACCUCAAGGAACCUUGAACUUGACUUGUUCGAAACUAAUCUUUUCCCCCCAAACCUGAUCCCCUCUGGAGUUCCCUGUGGGAGCAAACCACCACUGUUCCUCCAGGUGCCAGAGCUGGACGCUGGAAGCUACUCUUGUCCAUUCCACCAAUCCUAGCUCCUUGGUACGUCCUGAACCUUCCCUCUUCUCCCCACUCGGUCCUAAUGCUUUCAUCUGAGCUGAGGUCAGGGUCACCUCCCCUGGGAAUGCCCACGCCAGUCCCUGCCUUCUGUCCCGCUCCCGCUGACUUAUUCUUCCCACUCCAGCCCGAGUUAUCACUUUAAAAUGCGAAUUGGAUCCCAUCCUCCCGUUUAAAAUCCUUCAGGGGCUCCCCAGUGUCUUCAGGAUAAAGCUUGAAGUUGUUAGAAUUACAACUCCGUAGCCUGGCCCUUUCAGAUCUGGACAAACCUUAGCUCUUAACACUUCCCGGCUUUGUCCUUCGAGUGCAUAUUGAAUGGCUAGCAGUGGCCCAAAUGUGCUACAAUUGCAAUUCCUCUCCCCAAGAAUCCUUACCUGGAACACCCUCCCCCACUCCAGCUUCCUCCAGUACCUAACCCUGUUGAAAUGUCACCUUCUCUGGGCCUCUGGCUCCUCCAGCUGGGCUGGGACCCCGUCCCCUAGACGUAGAGCACAUUGAGGUUCUGGACUAUGCUCUAUUUAUCUUUGCAUUCCAGUGUCUGGCUCAGAGUUUGGCACAUACUAAACACCAUCUGGGCAGCCAAAGCAGGCUUCCUGGAGGAGAUGACAACUCACUUGAGUCCUAACAAAUGGCGAAGAAUUGGCCAGAUGGAAACAGGUCAAGGAAUAUCUCAGGAGGUAGAGGCAACAAGCAAAAAAGCAUGCAGGCGUGCGGUUCAGACCAAUGCAUCGGAGAAACAUGGGUCGUGCAAGGUGGCUGGGUGGCUAGGUGGCUGGGGCAAAGGGAGUGGCAGAGACGAGGCCAGGCACGCUUGUCAAUGGACUCACAGCAGAAACACCUUCGGGCCGUCCUGGCCAGGGCUCCAAAGCAUGGAGCUAUUCUGUAAGACUAGUUAGGGGUGACCUAUGAGCCCUGGUAUUCAGAAUUAAGGCGCUGAUGACAGAUAAAUGCAUUAUCCUCCCAGAGUAUGCACACUUGAAUUAAGUGGUGGAUCGGCCAUUCCCCAAAUAGACCUUCAUGAGGCCAUUGGUUGAAUUGAACUGACAAAAAGCAUUAACACAAAAAAAAUAUUGAUAAUAAUAACGAAAUGUCUUAUAUCCA